rnacentral:rRNA from 1 species
UACGUAGGGUGCAAGCGUUGUCCGGAAUUAUUGGGCGUAAAGGGCUCGUAGGCGGUCCAUCGCGUCGGGAGUGAAAAGCUGGGGCUUAACCCCAGUCCUGCUUCCGAUACGGGUGGACUAGAGGUAGGCAGGGGAGAACGGAAUUCCUGGUGUAGCGGUGAAAUGCGCAGAUAUCAGGAGGAACACCGGUGGCGAAGGCGGUCUCUGGGCCUGUACUGACGCUGAGGAGCGAAAGCGUGGGGAGCGAACAGG